rnacentral:rRNA from 1 species
UACGUAGGGGGCAAGCGUUAAUCGGAAUUACUGGGCGUAAAGCGUGCGCAGGCGGCUAUGUAAGACAGGCGUGAAAUCCCCGGGCUUAACCUGGGAACUGCAUUUGUGACUGCAUAGCUAGAGUACGGUAGAGGGGGAUGGAAUUUCGCGUGUAGCAGUGAAAUGCGUAGAUAUGCGGAGGAACACCGAUGGCGAAGGCAAUCCCCUGGACCUGUACUGACGCUCAUGCACGAAAGCGUGGGGAGCAAACAGG